CCUACGGGAGGCAGCAGUCGGGAAUAUUGCGCAAUGGAGGAAACUCUGACGCAGUGACGCCGCGUGCAGGAAGAAGGUUUUCUGAUUGUAAACUGCUUUAUACAGGGAAGAAAAAAGCCAUUACCUUUAGAAUACGCUCCGGCUCAAUACGUGCCAGCAGCCGCGGUAAUCCGUCGGGAGCAAGCGUUAUCCGGAUUUAUUGGGUGUAAAGGGUGCGUAGCCGGAGAAGCAAGUUAGUUGUGAAAUCCCUCGGCUUAACUGAGGAACUGCAACUAAAACUACUGCCCUUGAGUACUGGAGAGGAAAGUGGAAUUCCUAGUGUAGCGGUGAAAUGCGUAGAUAUUAGGAGGAACACCAGUGGCGAAGGCGACUUGCUGGACAGUAACUGACGUUGAGGCACGAAAGUGUGGGGAGCAAACAGGAUUAGAUACCCUUGUAGUC
rnacentral:rRNA from 1 species